rnacentral:rRNA from 1 species
CAGGGUGACAGGUGGUGCAUGGUUGUCGUCAGCUCGUGUCGUGAGAUGUUGGGUUAAGUCCCGCAACGAGCGCAACCCUCGACCUUAGUUGCCAGCAUUCAGUUGGGCACUCUAGGGUGACUGCCGGCUAAAAGUCGGAGGAAGGUGGGGAUGACGUCAAAUCAUCAUGCCCCUUAUGACCUGGGCUACACACGUGCUACAAUGGGCGGUACAAAGGGUCGCGAACCCGCGAGGGGGAGCCAAUCCCAAAAAGCCGCUCUCAGUUCGGAUUGCAGGCUGCAACUCGCCUGCAUGAAGCCGGAAUCGCUAGUAAUCGCGGAUCAGCAUGCCGCGGUGAAUACGUUCCCGGGCCUU